ACGAACGCUGGCGGCGCGCUUAACACAUGCAAGUCGAACGGAAAGGCCUGCUUUCCCUUGUGGAUUGCGGGUACUCGAGUGGCGAACGGGUGAGUAACACGUGAGUGAUCUGCCCCCAACUUGGGUAUAAGCCUGGGAAACUGGGUCUAAUUCUCGAUCGGACUGCAGGGUGGUGCCUGUGGUGGAAAACGAUUUUCUAGUGGUUGGGGAUGAGCUCGCGGCCUAUCAGCUGGUUGGUGGGGUAAUGGCCUACCAAGGCGGCGACGGGUAGCCGGCCUGAGAGGGUGGACGGCCACAUUGGGACUGAGGUACGGCCCAGACUCCUACGGGAGGCAGCAGUGGGGAAUAUUGCACGAUGGGCGGAAGCCUGAUGCAGCGACGCCGCGUGGGGGAUGACGGCCUUCGGGUUGUAAACUCCUUUCGACCGCGAGGAAGCCACCUGGUUGGAAGGGUGGUGACGGUAGUGGUAGAAGAAGCACCGGCUAACUACGUG
rnacentral:rRNA from 1 species